AGAGUUUGAUCAUGGCUCAGGACGAACGCUGGCGGCGUGCUUAACACAUGCAAGUCACGGGGGCCCGCAAGGGCAACCGGCGAACGGGUGCGUAACACGUGAACAACCUGCCCUCGUGUGGGGGAUAGCCGGGCUAACGCCCGGGUAAUACCGCAUACGUUCUCGCUGGGGAGUCCUGGCGAGAGGAAAGCUCCGGCGCACGGGGAGGGGUUCGCGGCCUAUCAGCUAGUUGGCGGGGUAAUGGCCCACCAAGGCGACGACGGGUAGCUGGUCUGAGAGGAUGGCCAGCCACAUUGGGACUGAGAGACGGCCCAGACUCCUACGGGAGGCAGCAGUGGGGAAUCUUGCGCAAUGGCCGAAAGGCUGACGCAGCGACGCCGCGUGUGGGAGGACGCCUUUCGGGGUGUAAACCACUGUUGCCCGGGACGAACGAGCGCUUUCGAGCGCUGUGACGGUACCGGGUGAGGAAGCACCGGCUAACUCCGUGCCAGCAGCCGCGGUAAUAC
rnacentral:rRNA from 1 species